rnacentral:rRNA from 1 species
AUUGAACGCUGGCGGCAGGCCUCACACAUGCAAGUCGAACGAGUGGCGGACGGGUGCGUAAUGUCUGGGAAACUGCCCGAUGGCGGGGGCUAACUACUGGAAACGGUAGCUAAUACCGCAUACCAUCGGAUGUGCCCAGAUGGGCUUAGCUUGUAGGUGAGGUAACGGCUCACCUAGGCGACGCUCCCUAGCUGGUCUGAGAGGAUGACAAGCAACACUGGAACUGAGACACGGUCCAGACUCCUACGGGAGGCAGCAGUGGGGAAUAUUGCACAAUGGGCGCAAGCCUGAUGCAGCCAUGCCGCGUGUAUGAAGAAGGCCUUCGGUUUGUAAAGUACUUUCAGCGGGGAGGCGUUACCCGCAGAAGAAGCACCGGCUAACUCCGGGCCAGCAGCCGCGGUAAUAC